CAAGUUUUAAAAAAUUUGUCAUCAUUAGAGCAUGAUGUCAUACAAAAUAAUGUUAAGUAGUAGACCAUAGUGAUCUGGCAGUCAGUCUGUAGUCAUCUGGUGAAUUUCAUCUGUAGGUUAUGAGCGGUCUUACCUGAAACUAUACAUGACACUGGGCGAGGCUCGCUGUUUUGUUUUGUGUAGAAUUGUACAACUUUUCAUAGUUCAGACAUAAUUUUGAGAAUAAAUGCUAUAAGUAUAUCUUGCCCUUGGUUUGAGCUAAAAUAAACAUUUCACUAGUAUUUACAUGAUGGAAUUCAAGCUAAAUAUAUCCGCUUGCGGGAUUCCCUACACAAGAAAUCGACGAAUCCCAUGAAAUAGUUUCCUGAUAAAUCUUAACACCCAUUCGCUCUCUCAUUGACAAGGAAACACUGUGUCUGUUUUAUAUCCGGAGGUUACAGUGCUAUAUUGGAUUUAAGUUCCUCUAAAUAUUCGGACCGAUUGUGACGUAAAUGUUGGAUGCCUCAAACGGACCAUUGUUGAUGGUCAUGGCAGUGUCUGCCCGGGUAACCUCCUGACACCUCAGAGUGUUAUGCCGGCGCGUAUUGCGCGUGUGCACGAGCAGUAUGGCCCCAUUGCCCGCCUCCCCGUCACUCCUCAUACUUUCAUCCACAUUGAACGGCACCUGUAACAUGAAAGUUUAAGGAGUUCAGGAGAAGCGUGCAGUGAAAGCAGCGUGGCAUCCGCUAUGAUCACCACCGUAUAUGUAUACAGAGGAUCACCACCGUGUCCAGUGCACAUAUUAUACAGUCCAAGACGCCGCGCUGAACAGCAACUCUCGAUCACGGGACACGUUUUAAAAUAUAUUAACCGGUCGAGUAACAAGUAGUUGUAAUAGGCCAACUCCCUGCUUUAGACACACGCGGUUACUGGGAGUUGCAACUGGUAACGGCAUUUUCCGUGGAAACUCUCUCGCUUUGAAUUCAUGUGGCACUUUAAUAGGUAAUACCCCCGAUACACCGACUCCGCUCGAAGUACGUUCUGAAAAAUGUGACUAAACUGGCUCGAACUGUGUGAGAACGGAGUGAUCGUAGUAGCAACGUGUAACGAACUGUCUUCGAUCUUUGUGGACGGCAUGGAACGGGGUUGAACGGGAAAGGUGUUUCAGAACUUUAAGUCUUCUCAAAAUUUUCGUCCGAUCAUCCCGUUCUACAAUUAAACGUAGUAACAACGUACUGGAAACGGAAUGGACGUAAUAAGAACGGAUAGGUCGUACUAAGGUCGGGUUAGGAACGUACCAGAACGUAGUGCGAUCGGACCGAAAUUACCUGUACGAUGCCACACCGAUCGAGUCCGUUUCCAGUCCGUCCAAUCCGUUCUCAGACAGACCGACCCCGUCCGCACUACGUUUCACGUACGAUCUUGUUUCGUGUAAAUAACUGAAGCUACCGGAGACACAGCGCGCUCCUUUUUAUAUUUAGUUUGGCAGUUUCAGGAUUUUCAAUACCUUCUGCCUUUUCUUGACGUUUUUCAGUUGCGAUAUUUAUUUGUGUUAUUUUUAAUUGCGACAGCCUUUAGCUGCACUGACAAUUUAGCAGAAUUAUUUCUUGGAGGCAUUACAAAUGUACGUCUGGUCGGCUCAAAGCGUGAAACAUCAAUGAGAACUGGCAGGAACGUAGUCGGUUUUAUAAUCGCCGUGCAGAACGUGGCUGCAACUACGUCCUAAACGUACUACCAACGUAGUAGGACGGAGUGAGAACUGCCUUUGAACGAGUUACCACUGCACAACGAAUAAACAAGAACUGCCUACGAAGGUGAUCGAACUGGCUGAUGACGGGCUCGGUCUGACUGGAAACGGUAUACCAACGGGGACAAUGGGAAAAUUGACCCGAUUUGAACUAGAUAAAGACGGACUGGCAACGGGAUAGGACGGGAUAGGAACGAGCUGCACGUACCGUGAACUGUGUAUGAAUGUCAUUCAAUCAUAUUGUAGAUUUUUUUCUGAUCUGAUCAAAACUACACGUUCAAGCAAGUUCACAUCCCGUUCUGCAUUUUCUUCAGAACGUGGUCGAACUGUCUAAGAACGUGCUUGGUGUAUGGGCUCCUAAAACUGGUUUGAAAACUCGCUUAACCUAAAAAGGAAGAUUCACAAGAAACAACAUGGCAAUGACACAAACUCGAAUACUCUAACAAGAGCAUUCGAGUUUGACCGUAAGUCGCUUACUGAAUUGUUAUAAGCAAAUAGGUAGCAGCAAUGUUGUUUUGUUGAUUGGGGUAGUUUUUAAGGAUUAAACAUUAAGCAUUAACGCCACAUAAAUACUUAGAAUCAACGAAUAUUUCGUAAAAAAGUUAACCCAUACAAAUUAGUGUUCCUUAUAGCCAAAAUUUUAACGUAAUAUAGAUUUAACGAGAUAAUAAAUGCUCGAUUUUAUUUUUGUGUGUGACAAUAUAUUCCCAUUUGAAUUUCCUGCGACUUUAUCCGAACAUUUACAAGCAAACGCCAAAUAUUAAUUGAUUUUGAGUAUUUAUGUGGCUUUAAGAUUUGGCAAUAGAUUUUCCAUCUACGUACAAGUUUUUUUUUAAAUAAAUAAUCAUAUAUGGAAAACUGCCCGCCUUUUUGGGACAUGUUUUUCAACGGACCGAAAUUAUUUUUUAAUUUGGCCGAGAUAUCAUAAGGCAAAUGUUUUGAGCAAGUUUACAGAUGAUUUAGCAAAAAUGGUGUCCUUUGGAGAGUCUACAAGCUCUUUUGUUUAAUUUAACAUAGUGGCCUUGUUUUUUCCCCACAAGAUCCAGUUUCGAACUCGAUUUAGCUACAUUGGGAAAAUUUCUUUUAAACAUUUUCAUGAUUUUAUUUUCUGAAGUUUCAUUAAUAUUGUUCAAUAUUUUAGUCUCUAGAGUUCUCACACGGCAUAUGUUGGUUACGGGCGACGAACGAAGGACAAAAGAUCACACUCAUCACGAUAGUUUUUAAAAAUUGGAUACAUACAUGAGCAUUGCAUGAUUGGUGCAGCUAUGUUCUAUGCAGUCCAGACUUCAAAAAAAGCACCAAGUUUUGAUACAUGGUGAGAUUAUAGCCCUCGAAGCCUUUCUUAAGACGUAACUGUCAUUGGGGGACGAACGAACGGACAAUGGACAGACAAACGCUCAACAACUACUUUUAGCACAACUAAGCAACCAUUAUUGCAACAAUAACUACACUAAAAGACAUAUAAGUAAAACGGCGUUUAUAUCCAUACUCUUUCAAAUUUACCUUAGUCGGUAUGUGCAUCCCAAUAUUAAAAUAUGGCACUUUUACCAUGACAUACAAGCAAUCGUCGUCGCUCAGCAAAAAAACACAGUUUGACAUUAUGUUGUAAAGGUUUAUAUUGUAUUAGUAGGUAAUACCACUUGGUUUCCGAAUCGAGUCACAUUAAGGAUAAUCAUUUUACAAACAUCAUCGGACAGGUCAGAACGGCAGAUUUACGCUCAUAAGCUUAAGUUGAAACUAAAUAAAAGAAACGUUGGUUUUAUCGUACUGCAAACCCAUGACGAAUAUUGUAUUGAAUACUAUUGGCACCGAAACUUGAAAUGCUUAAAUUGAAUCAACUAUGUCCAAGAAUCAAACGAUAACCUUGUACAAUUAUUCAGACAAUGAGAUUGUGUGUCAAGUAAAAAAUAAUAUUACACCAAAUAAUUAUGACUUGGUAUUCGUUUCUGAGUCAAACUGAUUAUAAAUAAAAUCUUGUGUCAUAGGUCAGUCACGAUGUUUCAAAGCGAUCUGUUCCAAUUUAUUAUGUUCCGUAAAUGACUGCAGAAAAUGAAAGCUGUGACGCAGUUUGUACGGAACACGUCCUGAUUGUUGAUUGUGCGGUAGGUUGUACUUGAACUUUGGCUGGCGUUCAGCCAUUAUUUCCCUAUCAGUGUCAAUGGAUUUCCAUUAACGUACAUAUGAGAAGGACUCACGAAUACAAGCUGUUUUUCAUUGGUCCAUGCGAUAUCAAAGAAAAGCACAAUCGUUCAGGAAACAAAUUGUUCAAAACCUCUGUGUCACAAGGUUAUUCCAGAACACGUUUCAUAUUUAUUCGAAAAAGCACAUAUCGAACAAUACAUUUAUAGCCUUACCCACUGAACAUUAAUAGAAUUUUAUCAUUGUAAACUGGAACAUAUUUUAACGCCUAUAACGAAAUUUCUUUGAAUAUGUCAUCACUUGGUGGUUGUGAUGUUAUAAAGAAUAUACAUAGACCGAAUAACUCAAGUUUUGCAAUAUCUUCGCUACAACUAUUGAUGAUGUCAUUAAUAAAUGUUUUAAUUAGUUUAAACAUAUUUAUUUUAGCUCGAUUGCAUAGAACGCCUAAGUCUUAUUUAAAACGCUCUCGAGUCCGUGUUUCUGGGACUAGAACCAGUACUUGGUGUCUAUGUGGGAAAUCUAAAGAACGCUCCCACAACGGGGAUCAAACUCGUGACCUCCAAAUCGCUAGGCGGACAUCAUAUCCACUACACCACUGCGACUUCAAUGUUUUAAUUCAAGAGUGAUGGAAUUCGAACAUUUUCAUAUACGGAAAUCAGGGUCUCAGAUAAUCAAAAUGUUCAAAAUGUUUAGACUCAACAAACAUGGACGGUCGAUUACUAAAGCAACAGGCCAGUGUCUGACUUACAGACAGAAAUAUUUCCUAUUAUCAUUUUAGGCAUUUACAUUUAUUCUGUUGUUCGAAAUUAAUAUCAAUUUUGUUUUUAAAGAAUUAUUUUUAUGUUUUUGUUGUUUUCGAACCAGUAAACUAGUUUUGGGCGCUGCGCGCCUCUACAUACAUAAAUACAUACAUACGCACGCACAGAAAAGCAAGCAUUCGCGCACGCACACACGCACACAUGCACACACCAGUUAUUUAUAUAUAUGCUCGGUAGAACAAUUUAUUUGAUGGUAUCAAUACUGUUGCAUUUAAUUUACGUUCAAAGAUGUUUGCAAACACGAAGCUCUUAAAUGUGAUGAAUAUAUUUUUAAAGGACGCCCACGCUCGUUCAGUACGUUGUUUGUGAGCAUGACUAAUAAAUAAAUAAAUGAAAA